AACGAACGCUGGCGGCAUGCCUAACACAUGCAAGUCGAACGAGACCUUCGGGUCUAGUGGCGCACGGGUGCGUAACGCGUGGGAACCUGCCCUUAGGUUCGGAAUAACUCCCCGAAAGGGGUGCUAAUACCGGAUAAUGUCUUCGGACCAAAGAUUUAUCGCCUUUGGAUGGGCCCGCGUUUGAUUAGCUAGUUGGUAGGGUAAAAGCCUACCAAGGCGACGAUCCAUAGCUGGUCUGAGAGGAUGAUCAGCCACACUGGGACUGAGACACGGCCCAGACUCCUACGGGAGGCAGCAGUGGGGAAUAUUGGACAAUGGGCGAAAGCCUGAUCCAGCCAUGCCGCGUGAGUGAUGAAGGCCUUAGGGUUGUAAAGCUCUUUUACCCGGGAUGAUAAUGACAGUAACGGGAGAAUAAGCUCCGGCUAACUCCGUG
rnacentral:rRNA from 1 species